CUCUGUUCUGGUGGUUGUUGCUCUAAUUUCCCCCAGAAAGUCAAGAUGAAUCACAGAGGCUGGAGUCUUCGUGCUGGUACUGUAGACAGGCAGGAUGGUAGGAUCAGAGCUCUCUGAGGAGGGUUAGGUUAUGUGGGGAGGAGAGCAUUGGCUGAGUGGUGGAUGCAGCAAGGAAAGUUUUAUUUAUUGAUGUAACCAGAAAGCCACCCAUCUCUCUGCCCAUCCUUAGGGUUACCUUCUUCUUUUUCUGCUUUUGUCAUGACUCCAGCAGCACCCAGCUGAUGCCAGGGAAGUGAUUAAUGAUGGGCAUGUUUCCAAGAGGUACAUCCCAACCAGCACCCUGCCUGCCGGAAGCUGUAACUAGGAUCCUGCUUCCCAGGCCCCUUUCAAAGCUUCCCUUCCCUGUCCCUGCUGGGAUCUGGUGCUGGGAAGGGGGGAAGUUGUCUAGCUUCAGCCCAAAGUCUGGAAAUCAGGUGUGAUGGGGCAAAUACAGAUGACCACUUAAACUGCCACCUGGUAAAGGGAAGGUGAUGGGGUUCAAAUCACCAGCCCACCCUGACUUUCUUAAAGCAACUGACCUGGCAAGAACUACGUCAGUAGUUGAUGGAAAUUGUGGCAAUGAAUCUCUGCCAGACUUCAGAGAUGUCAUUUCUACUACAGAGCUGGAGUCGGGUCAGCUCUUUGGGUGCCCUCUGUACUCUGCAAAGAGCCUUUGUGGAAGCGUCUUGUGCAUGUUUGCAGCUAGAGGUGAACCCAAACAACAUGAUCAGCCUGUCCUGUCUUUGAAAUCUUGCCACAUUUCAAUCACACGCACCAGGAAUAAGGACCACUGGGACACCAGGACGAUGCAGAUUUGAUGACUGGUCAAAGAGGGUCUGUGGCAGACGUCUGUGAAAACCUCUCACUGCCUGAAAUUUUGGUUAAAACAGACCUGGCAAAUAAUGGGUCAGUGUCUGUUUAUAAAAAAAAGGUCAAGAGGCACAGCAAGAUUUUCUUGUUUUGCAUUUGUUUUAAUUUAACAGCUAAUCCAGCGUCUCCAUUAUUAUGGACGAUAAGUAAAGGCACUUCAUUUUUUUUUGUCUCCUUAGUAUCUCUACUCUGCUUUUCCCAUAGACCUCUACAAGAGCUACCAGGCAGCAUUGUCAGAUGAGGUACCGUUUUUUCCAAAGUCUUUUGUCCAGUCCAAUUAACUCAACAACAUUCUCAGGGAUCCUCACGACUGUGAUAAUUGGUGACUUUGUACUGGGAGGAGAAUGUGAACACGUUGGCACUUGUAGAGGGCUUGUAAGGGGACACCUGGGCUCUCCAGAUAAAUAUCAGACACGACAAGACAAUGGACUGGGCAAGAAAAAUGAAAAUCAUUUCAUAAAAUGUCUUCAAAACAAAAAAAAAAUCAUAAAAGAUCUUGCAACCCCAAGCACAAUAUAAAGCAAAUCUAGAAGAACUGCAUGGCACAGAGCCAAGCAAAUUUAAGGAACAAAUCUAGCAAACAAUGAAAAGUAACAGCUCUGACCAAAAACAACCAUUAAAUGUUAAAUGCCGCUCUUGUAACUGACAACACCAACAACUUUAAAGGGCUGUUUUACUAGCAUGCGUAUGUGUGUGUGGGGAAUAGUUAGCCUCUCAAAGGGUUGACUGUAAAUUUAGACUUCUUUUUUUUUUCUUUUUCUUUUUUUUUCCCCUUUAAAACUUUGUGGUAAUUGAAGGAGAAAUCUAGAGCCUAACUAAUUAGCAUCAGUGAGGAUGGCUCGCUUUGUUAAAGAUCUGCGUGGGCAUGAAGGGCUGUAGGCACCGAGUACUUGCUUCAGAGCAGCGUGGAGAGGUGAGAAAGGAGCAGUGUAGAGGGGUGAUUUUUCC
ensembl:lncRNA